CUUCAUCGAGGCCUGGCCAUCAUCAUCAUCCUGACUGCCUGGCUAAUUUGGAAUCACCGCAAUAGCUGCGUAUUCAACGGUGAUAGGCCUUUGGUGUCGCUUCUAAAUAAUAACAUCAAGGAAGAAGCUCGAGCCUGUUCUCUUGCCGGAGCCAAGGGGCUAGGAACCCUAAUCAACGCGGCCUAG
rnacentral:rRNA from 1 species